UUGAUAGAAUUAAUCUUGUUGUUUUAUUUCAGUUUGUUUUGUUUUAAUUCCAGCAGAGUUUAAGAGUAGACGUAACCUUUCAUAUAGAAGUUAUGAUUUAGAGGUUAUUUAGUGGACGUAACUUUUCAUAUAGCAGUUAUGAUUUAGAGGUUAUUUAGAGGACGUAACCUUUCGUAUUUGUAACCUUUCAUAUUUGCUUCUAUAUAUAAUAAGAAAAUCAGAAAAUGAUGCAGUGAGUUAAGCAUCACAAAAGGCCUCUGUUCUUUCAUUAUUUUGUCUCUGUGAUUGUGUGAGUUUCCCAAAUUGUGUGACUGGCCGUAAGAAAGAAUAACCAUCAUUUGGUAUCAGAGCCAAGGUUGUCAAAGCAAUGGCCGGUGUUGAAGGAGAUCAAUCUAAGACGCUUGCAGUCGUCAAACCGACGGCAAGAGGAGCCUCAAUCCCGAUCCAUUAUCCAAUGUUAAGCGAAACGAACUACGGCAUAUGGGCUGUCAAGAUGAAGAUAAUCUUGCGUUCGCUAGGAGUAUGGUCAGUGAUCGAAGGUGCAGACACAGACGACGACAAAGAUCAAGGCGCCAUGGUAGCCAUCUCUCAAGCCGUGCCAGAUGACGUGAUGAUGGCAAUCGCAGAGAAGCAGACGGCAAAGGAGGCUUGGGACGCACUCAGGGAGAUGCGAAUUGGCGAAGAUCGUGUCAAGAAGGCACGUGUACAAGUACUGAAACGACAAUUGUACAAGGUGCAUAUGCAAGAUUCAGAAACCGUAAAUGAGUAUUCGAUGAAGUUGACUGCCUUGGUUGGUGAGAUCCGAUCACUUGGCGCGAAACUUGAAGAAAGCGAAGUUGUUGAAAAGCUGUUCAGUUCGGUUCCAGAUCGAUUUCUUCAAAUCAUUGGGACAAUUGAGCAGUUUGGAGAUGUAGACACGAUGUCGGUUUCAGAAGCUAUUGGGCGUUUGAGAACAUUUGAAGAGGGAUUGAAGGGGCGAUCUCAUACAGAGAGUACAGGAGAGCAGUUGCUAUUCACCCAAGCCGAAAGGGAAGCAAGAACCCCAAAGGCAAAGAAAUAUGAAAGUUUCAGCAACAACAAAAGAGGAGGACGUCACUGGAGAGGACAUGGUAGUGGGCGUGGAUAUGGUGGAGGUCGAGGAAAUGGUGAACGCACUAACGAAGACCGAAAGCCACGAAACUUCGACAAAUCCAAGGUUAAGUGUUUCAAUUGUAAUGAAUUUGGACACUUCGCAAAAGAUUGUUCCAAGCCAAACCGAAGAGAGAGGGCUAAUUUUGUUACAACACAAACCGAUGAUGAACCGGCACUACUGAUGGCCGAAACUUGUGUUAUCAGCCACUCAAUACAGAACGAGCAUGUGUUACUGCACGAAGACAAGGUGGUGCCAAAGAUUAAAGGCACCCGAGAGAAGGCUUGGUAUUUAGAUACCGGCGCAAGUAACCACAUGACCGGAUGUAUUGAAAAAUUUGCUGAAAUUGACACGACUAUUACAGGGUCAGUCAAAUUUGGGGAUGGCUCGACUGUAAAAAUCCAAGGAAGAGGUUCGGUUUUGCUUGAAGACUUCACAGGUGAACAUCAAAUACUUACUAAUGUCUACUACAUCCCAAUGUUGAAGAGCAACAUAAUAAGCCUUGGCCAGUUGGAUGAAAACGGAUGCAAGGUUGUGAUUGAAGGAGGUGUUAUGACUAUUUUGGACAGAUUACAAAGGCUACUAGCAAAAGUGAAGAGGUCAAGCAACCGGUUAUAUGUGCUUAACAUAGCACCAGCUCUACCCGAAUGCUUUCUGGUAAGGAGCAAAGAAGAAGCAUGGCGAUGGCAUGCAAGAUACGGGCAUGUGAAUUUUCAUGCUUUGAAGUCUCUAAGUCAGAAACAGAUGGUGCACGGCUUGCCCAUAAUCGAGCAUGAAGAUCGCAUUUGUGAUGGAUGUUUGAUUGGAAAACAACAACGAAAACCAUUCCCUGCUGAAUCAAAUUUCAGAGCCGAGUACCCUCUUGAGUUGUGGCAUAUAGAUUUGUGCGGGCCAAUCACACCGACUACGAAUGGGGGAAAGCGUUAUUUUAUGCUAAUUGUCGAUGAUUGCACAAGGUUUAUGUGGCAGGUUCUGAUAUCAAACAAAGCCGAGGCGUUCGAAAGUUUUAAAAGGAUCAAAGCUGCAGCCGAAAUGGAGAAGGGGUGUAAGUUGAAAGCUUUUCGAAGUGAUCGUGGUGGUGAAUUCACAUCAAAUGAGUUCAAGGGCUUUUGCGAAUUAAAUGGUAUUAAACACUACCUUAUUGCACCUUAUUCUCCGCAGCAAAAUGGUGUCGUGGAACGGAGAAAUCAGACAGUGGUUGGCAUGGCAAGAAGUUUGCUGAAAAGUAAAAAUGUUCCCGGCGAAUUUUGGGGAGAAGCGGUGUCAACGGCAAUUUACUUGCUGAACAGAGCACCAACUAAGAGUCUAGUUGACAAGACACCCUAUGAAGCCUACUACAAUCGAAAGCCAAGAGUUGAACACUUGCGAAUUUUUGGAUGUAUUGCUCACGUGAAGAAUGUCACACCUCACCUUCCGAAACUAGCAGAUCGAAGUAAACCUAUGAUGUUUAUUGGAUAUGAUUUGAAUACCAAGGGUUAUCGGAUGUUUGAUCCAAAGACAAAACAGGUGGUAGUGACUCGUGAUGCCGUGUUUGAUGAAGAAAAGAAGUGGGACUGGACUGAUUCAUCGGCUACAGAAUCUAAACCAGCAAAGGAUAUCUUUACUGUUCUUUAUUUUCCUGUUGCAGUUUCAAGUGAUGCUGCCCAUCAACGAAUUGAGGAAGAGAUGCUGUAUCCAAAUAUGGCGUCUCCACAGCCAGGGUUCUAUCAAUCUGGCGAGCCUGAGAAUACAUCUGCUGGUAGCAACAGAGCAGAUGGAUUCGGCUCUGGAAAUGCACAAACUCCAGUGUCGUUUCCUGUUGAGCAGAGGGCAUCCGAAUUCAUCCAUCCAGAGGCAUCAGAAGUGGGACCAAGAGGGAAACGAGACCUAAACAGUUUGUACGACAAAACUAUUCCUACUGAAUUGGAUUAUUCGGGGCUAUGUUUGCUAGGAGAGGAGGAGCCUACGAGUUAUGAAGAAGCAAGAACCGAUUCAGCAUGGAGAAAGGCUAUGGAAGAAGAAAUUUCCAGCAUACAGGAGAAUGCAACAUGGAGGUUAGUUGCUUUACCAGAAAAUCAAAAGCCAAUUGGUUUGAAGUGGGUGUUUAAAUUGAAGAAAGAUACUCAAGGGAGAAUAAUCAAACACAAGGCGAGGUUAGUAGCAAAGGGGUAUGUUCAAAAGCACGGGAUAGAUUUUGACGAAGUUUUUGCUCCUGUUGCUCGAUUGGAAACUAUACGGUUGUUGAUAUCAAUCGCUGCACAAAAGGGGUGGCAAGUGCAUCACAUGGAUGUAAAAUCCGCUUUCCUUAACGGUGAAUUGGAGGAGGAUGUGUAUGUUCUGCAGCCACCGGGUUUUGAGAUAAAAGGAGAAGAGUAUAAGGUGCUGAAACUGUAUAAAGCCUUGUACGGUUUGCGACAAGCGCCUAGAGCAUGGAAUUCCAAGUUGGAUAAGUCGUUGAAGGCACUCGGUUUUGAGAGGUGUCUUCUAGAACAUACGGUGUACACGAGAAAGGAAGGAAAUUUAAUUGUUGGAGUAUACGUAGACGAUUUAAUUAUCACUGGAGGAUGUAUUCGAGACAUUGACAAAUUCAAAUCUCAGAUGAAAGGGCUAUUUAGAAUGAGUGAUCUUGGGUUGCUUAGCUAUUAUUUGGGAAUUGAAGUGUGUCAGACUCCAACAAGAAUCACCUUAAAGCAAUCGGGUUUUGCAAAGAAGGUGCUGGAGAAAUGUGGGAUGAAGGACUGUAACUCAACACAGAUUCCUAUGGAGCCUCGCCUGAAAUUGAACAAGGACAGCCUUGAACCUCCUGUAGAUGUAACUUUGUAUCGAAGUAUCGUUGGCAGUUUGAGAUACUUGCUGCACACACGUCCAGACUUGGCGUUUGCUGUUGGAAUGGUAAGUCGAUUUAUGGAGAAACCCACGCUGGAACAUAUGGCAGCAGUAAAGCACAUACUGAGGUACGUGAAGGGAACAUUGAACUUUGGUUUUGUGUAUGAGAAGAAAGAAGGAGAUUUGGAGCUGAUCGGGUUUUCGGACAGUGAUCUGGCUGGUGACAAUAAUGACAGAAAAAGCACUUCAGGAUUGAUAUUCUUUCUUGGGGCAAAUCCGAUCAGCUGGUGUUCACAAAAGCAGAAAGUGGUGGCGCUGUCUUCAUGCGAAGCAGAAUAUAUUGCUGGUUGUGCGGCAGCGUGUCAAGGUGUGUGGCUAAGUCGAUUGUUAGGAGAAUUGCUAAAGGCUGAACCUAAGAAAGUGGUGCUAAAAAUGGAUAAUCAAUCCGCAAUUGCUCUAACCAAGAACUCAGUUCAUCAUGAGAGGAGUAAACAUAUUGACACUCGGUUUCAUUACAUAAGAGAUUGUGUGAAAUCGGGAUUGGUUGAAGUUCAGCAUGUUCGUACCGAGGACCAGCUUGCUGAUAUCUUAACAAAGUCACUGGGAAGGAUAAAGUUUCAGGAGAUGAGAGGAAAGAUUGGUGUACUGGACAUCAAUAAAGAACAACAAGCUUAAGGAGGAGAAUGAUAGAAUUAAUCUUGUUGUUUUAUUUCAGUUUGUUUUGUUUUAAUUCCAGCAGAGUUUAAGAGUAGACGUAACCUUUCAUAUAGAAGUUAUGAUUUAGAGGUUAUUUAGUGGACGUAACUUUUCAUAUAGCAGUUAUGAUUUAGAGGUUAUUUAGAGGACGUAACCUUUCGUAUUUGUAACCUUUCAUAUU
rnacentral:lncRNA from 1 species